UACUCCAGAGGGGAGGAUGCUAUGGUUUGUCUGCAUGGCUAAACCACUGAGGCCUGGCAUACCCUAUCAACAGGACUCUGCAGCCUAGAGGGCAAACUGAGGCAUUCUGAAUCCUAAUGCUGGAAAGGUCUGAGCCAGUGUAAAGUUGAUGGGAUUCAGAACAGAAUGAAAAUAAAUAACUUGCAUGGCAGCGUACACCAAACAAGGAAAUGUGACUGUAUUCCUGAAUAAAUGACAAGCAGUACCCAUGGAAAAAUAUAACUUUCACCUCAGGAUCACUUUACCAUUAUCUUCCUCUUAACACCUUUUCAAGGUGUGAUGAAGAAGAAUGGAAGUGGUUGCUUGAGGUACCUUGAACUAGUCUAUCAGUUCCUUAAUCUCAGGCCUUGUCUAAACACAAAUUGUACUGAUUUAACUAAAUCCCUGCGGAAACUGAAGGAGAAUGAACUAAGCAUACCGGGCUGAGUCACCCAGAAGAAUACCUCUGUAGCAGCAGAUUGGCCAACAAAAGCAGGUGGUAUGGAUGAAGUGCCUGCAAUACCACAUCCUGGCAUGAUGAGGGGAUUCCAGUGUAUCCCCCCUCACUGAUGAUGGUGCAAUCCCCGCAAAGCAGUACAGCAACUGUGGUUUCAAAAUCCCUGCAAUGAUCCUACAGGACUGAUUGAGUUCAGUAUCUAUUUGUGUGCAUGACUCAUGGGUGACCAGAAUGAGGCACAAUACACCACCACUGAGCAGCAAGGUUACUUUAUUACCUCUUAAAGAAUGCUAUUGGCAGGACUGACAGCAAGCAGACUAGAAAGUGGCAUUUAAACAAGUCCAGGACAUGAAAGCUUAAGUAAUGGCUUUGAUGGGGGGUGUUUUAUUACUUGGAAUACUUGCACAAACAAGUGUUGCAGAAAGAAAAAUAAGGA